CUGACACCGCACGCGUUGGGGAGGAGGCGCUUGCCAUGCAAUACCUAUUUAAACUGGGAGAGCUGCGGGAGAGCUGCAGUCAUCUGCUGCGGGUCUUUUAUUACGUGGCAAGUUUAGAAUAACAUUUUCAAAACAUACAACUUCAAACAUCUAAGUCCUCAUGAGAUGAUACAAUACGUGGAUCUCGAGUGCAUCUGUGUGUUUCCCAGAGGCCCGUGCGGGACUCCUGGCCACUGGAUGGUAUGCUCUGCCUUCAGAACGGCUCUUUCCACCGUUCUGAAAUGCCCUCCCUCAUAGACACCUCAGGUGUGCUCUGCUGACUCUAAAUCCAGUCAACUUGUCAAAGAUUAACCAUCAGAGGAGCAGGCUCUUCGGUGGAGACCUUUUGGGAGGAGGCCCAGCCGACCGGAGGAUGGCAGCUGUGUGGCUGCCCUGCAACAAUGGACAGAACCAACUUCUACUUUGUUUGCAAGGCACAGAUCCAAAAGAACAAUGAAUGGUGGGACACGCUCCUUGCCCCGCAAGGAUCUGUGUGUUCUUUGUAACUCCUUUCGAGCAGGGCAGGGCAGGAUGUGUGAGGCGUCAGGAUCGAAUUUCUGCUCCAGCCAUGUUCCUGAAUCCCAACCAGCAGACAGGAAAGAAGACAGGUAGCAACAUAUACCAACAUAUUCAGGAGCAUAUUCCUACGUGUAGGCGUGGCAAAUAUACACAACCAGCUGCGGCGGAACCAUCUUAAGUGUGCUAAAUUUAGCAUGUCCUCUGGACUUAAACAUGUUCACCUUGCUAUGCAAACAUUACCAGCAUCAUAUCUAGAGUCCUUUUUAAUCCUCAUAUAGUGGCUAUUCCUGAUUGUCAACUUGACUAUAUCUGGAAUGAACUACAAUCCAGAAUUGGAGGGUUCACCUGUGAUCCAGAUCUUGAGGCUGGAAGACACAAGUUUCUGACCUGGAUCUUGGUAUGGAGAUCUUGAGGCAUAGUGGCCGUGAAAAGCUUAGGCCCAGACAAAGCAGUACACUCCUUUAAUCCCAGGAGACUGAGGCAUGAAGAUCUCUGAGUUCAAGGUCAGUCUGGGGCAAAGCAAGUUCCAGGUCCAGGUAUGGUGGUACACACCUUUAAUCUUGGUCACAUAAAGACCUGCAUAAAGACAUUGGAAGAAGGAAGAGUUUCUCUUCUUCGCCUGCUUGUCUUGUGGACUGAACAACUACUAGACACUUGGACUUCCAUUCACAGCUGCUGCUGACCAUUGUUGGUGAGUUGGACUACAGAUUGUAAGUCAUCAACAAAUUCCCUUACUAUAUAGAGACUACCCAUAAGUUCUGUGACUCUAGAGAACCCUGACUAACACACCUCUCAAACAGAAACUUCGGUAAACAAUUACUCUCUCUUCAGCCCCUGACAGCUACUCUACCUUCGGUUCUUGGGAAUCUGACUACUCUAAAUCCAUGAAUGGAGUCCUGCCAACAUUUGUCGAUGGCUGGUCCUGUUCAUGGUAGUUCAUGAAUAUCAUGAUAUCGGUCUUCAUUUGUCAUCUGGGCCAGGAUUCCCUUUGCCAAGCUGAGUACUAUUCCAUUGUGUGUGUGUGUGCACUUUCCCAUGCAUUUGCUGGUAGAUGGUUGGGUUGCUUCUUUGCUUUUUGCUUACGUGAAUUGUGCUACAGUGAACACGAACGUACAGAUGCUCUUUGUUCCCCCAGAAGCUUCAUAUUCUCACGUGUAAUGCACAAGGGAGGACAUUUCUCCCCUUCUUACCGACCCUCGUUUUCUGGGUUGUUUUUGUUUGUUUGCUUAAAGAGUAGCCUCACGAUGAGUCUGGAAGGGCACCGCACGGUGGUUCUCAUUUGUACCUCUCUAACAGAGUGUGAUAUGAGCAUUUUGCCCUGUGCCCGUUCAUCACUACUAGUUCAUAUUCCUGGAAAGAUAUCUGUCCGUUCAAUUCACUUGUUCACGGUUUGAUUGAACCGUUCCGUAUGGUGUAGAAUGGACUUUAACUCCUAUCAGAUGGAUAAUUUGUACUGUGCUCUCUUUCCCAUUCUCUGAGUUGUCUUUUCCUUCUAUUGGUAAUACUGUUUGAUACACAGGUUUUUCUCAAUAUAAUUCAAUAGUCUUUCACCUGUCUGCUUUAGCAAGAUGUUCUUCCACCUGGGUGCCCCAGCAAAACAUCAUUUGACAUAACUAACUUUCCAAAGAAGCUAGAAGUUUCCAUUUCACAGGGAUCCUGCCCAGCUCCUCGGGGUGGCUACCUCACAAGCUGUGCGGUUUAGUGUCUUCUGUCUUCUGUGCUUGGAAGACAGUCCUCACCUUUUCUAGCCACUCUCAUCUCAACCAUCACCUCACCUGGGAAGCCUUCCUUGCUCCUCCCCAGGGACUUAAACACGUUUUCUUUUGUUCCUUUGGGCAUUGCCAUCCAAGGACUUUGUUACUCUUUGCUUGUUUGUUUUUGUCUGUCUACUUUCCCAUUAAAGCUUGAGCUCUUUGUGUG
rnacentral:lncRNA from 1 species